GGUUAAGCGACUAAGCGUACACGGUGGAUGCCCUGGCAGUCAGAGGCGAUGAAGGACGUGCUAAUCUGCGAUAAGCGUCGGUAAGGUGAUAUGAACCGUUAUAACCGGCGAUUUCCGAAUGGGGAAACCCAGUGUGUUUCGACACACUAUCAUUAACUGAAUCCAUAGGUUAAUGAGGCGAACCGGGGGAACUGAAACAUCUAAGUACCCCGAGGAAAAGAAAUCAACCGAGAUUCCCCCAGUAGCGGCGAGCGAACGGGGAGCAGCCCAGAGCCUGAAUCAGUGUGUGUGUUAGUGGAAGCGUCUGGAAAGGCGCGCGAUACAGGGUGACAGCCCCGUACACAAAAAUGCACAUAUUGUGAGCUCGAUGAGUAGGGCGGGACACGUGGUAUCCUGUCUGAAUAUGGGGGGACCAUCCUCCAAGGCUAAAUACUCCUGACUGACCGAUAGUGAACCAGUACCGUGAGGGAAAGGCGAAAAGAACCCCGGCGAGGGGAGUGAAAAAGAACCUGAAACCGUGUACGUACAAGCAGUGGGAGCACGCUUAGGCGUGUGACUGCGUACCUUUUGUAUAAUGGGUCAGCGACUUAUAUUCUGUAGCAAGGUUAACCGAAUAGGGGAGCCGAAGGGAAACCGAGUCUUAACUGGGCGUUAAGUUGCAGGGUAUAGACCCGAAACCCGGUGAUCUAGCCAUGGGCAGGUUGAAGGUUGGGUAACACUAACUGGAGGACCGAACCGACUAAUGUUGAAAAAUUAGCGGAUGACUUGUGGCUGGGGGUGAAAGGCCAAUCAAACCGGGAGAUAGCUGGUUCUCCCCGAAAGCUAUUUAGGUAGCGCCUCGUGAAUUCAUCUCCGGGGGUAGAGCACUGUUUCGGCAAGGGGGUCAUCCCGACUUACCAACCCGAUGCAAACUGCGAAUACCGGAGAAUGUUAUCACGGGAGACACACGGCGGGUGCUAACGUCCGUCGUGAAGAGGGAAACAACCCAGACCGCCAGCUAAGGUCCCAAAGUCAUGGUUAAGUGGGAAACGAUGUGGGAAGGCCCAGACAGCCAGGAUGUUGGCUUAGAAGCAGCCAUCAUUUAAAGAAAGCGUAAUAGCUCACUGGUCGAGUCGGCCUGCGCGGAAGAUGUAACGGGGCUAAACCAUGCACCGAAGCUGCGGCAGCGACGCUGAUGCGUUGUUGGGUAGGGGAGCGUUCUGUAAGCCUGUGAAGGUGUGCUGUGAGGCAUGCUGGAGGUAUCAGAAGUGCGAAUGCUGACAUAAGUAACGAUAAAGCGGGUGAAAAGCCCGCUCGCCGGAAGACCAAGGGUUCCUGUCCAACGUUAAUCGGGGCAGGGUGAGUCGACCCCUAAGGCGAGGCCGAAAGGCGUAGUCGAUGGGAAACAGGUUAAUAUUCCUGUACUUGGUGUUACUGCGAAGGGGGGACGGAGAAGGCUAUGUUGGCCGGGCGACGGUUGUCCCGGUUUAAGCGUGUAGGCUGGUUUUCCAGGCAAAUCCGGAAAAUCAAGGCUGAGGCGUGAUGACGAGGCACUACGGUGCUGAAGCAACAAAUGCCCUGCUUCCAGGAAAAGCCUCUAAGCAUCAGGUAACAUCAAAUCGUACCCCAAACCGACACAGGUGGUCAGGUAGAGAAUACCAAGGCGCUUGAGAGAACUCGGGUGAAGGAACUAGGCAAAAUGGUGCCGUAACUUCGGGAGAAGGCACGCUGAUAUGUAGGUGAAGUCCCUCGCGGAUGGAGCUGAAAUCAGUCGAAGAUACCAGCUGGCUGCAACUGUUUAUUAAAAACACAGCACUGUGCAAACACGAAAGUGGACGUAUACGGUGUGACGCCUGCCCGGUGCCGGAAGGUUAAUUGAUGGGGUUAGCCGCAAGGCGAAGCUCUUGAUCGAAGCCCCGGUAAACGGCGGCCGUAACUAUAACGGUCCUAAGGUAGCGAAAUUCCUUGUCGGGUAAGUUCCGACCUGCACGAAUGGCGUAAUGAUGGCCAGGCUGUCUCCACCCGAGACUCAGUGAAAUUGAACUCGCUGUGAAGAUGCAGUGUACCCGCGGCAAGACGGAAAGACCCCGUGAACCUUUACUAUAGCUUGACACUGAACAUUGAGCCUUGAUGUGUAGGAUAGGUGGGAGGCUUAGAAGUGUGGACGCCAGUCUGCAUGGAGCCGACCUUGAAAUACCACCCUUUAAUGUUUGAUGUUCUAACGUUGACCCGUAAUCCGGGUUGCGGACAGUGUCUGGUGGGUAGUUUGACUGGGGCGGUCUCCUCCUAAAGAGUAACGGAGGAGCACGAAGGUUGGCUAAUCCUGGUCGGACAUCAGGAGGUUAGUGCAAUGGCAUAAGCCAGCUUGACUGCGAGCGUGACGGCGCGAGCAGGUGCGAAAGCAGGUCAUAGUGAUCCGGUGGUUCUGAAUGGAAGGGCCAUCGCUCAACGGAUAAAAGGUACUCCGGGGAUAACAGGCUGAUACCGCCCAAGAGUUCAUAUCGACGGCGGUGUUUGGCACCUCGAUGUCGGCUCAUCACAUCCUGGGGCUGAAGUAGGUCCCAAGGGUAUGGCUGUUCGCCAUUUAAAGUGGUACGCGAGCUGGGUUUAGAACGUCGUGAGACAGUUCGGUCCCUAUCUGCCGUGGGCGCUGGAGAACUGAGGGGGGCUGCUCCUAGUACGAGAGGACCGGAGUGGACGCAUCACUGGUGUUCGGGUUGUCAUGCCAAUGGCACUGCCCGGUAGCUAAAUGCGGAAGAGAUAAGUGCUGAAAGCAUCUAAGCACGAAACUUGCCCCGAGAUGAGUUCUCCCUGACUCCUUGAGAGUCCUGAAGGAACGUUGAAGACGACGACGUUGAUAGGCCGGGUGUGUAAGCGCAGCGAUGCGUUGAGCUAACCGGUACUAAUGAACCGUGAGGCUUAACCUU
rnacentral:rRNA from 1 species